UUGAUUUUGGGCAGUAAAACAGGAAAAUUCGAAAACAGAAGAUGACAAAACUCUUCACACAUUUCGCCAUUUUCAAAACAAUACCAACACCAUCUAGCGGCACACUGGACAAUCGUCUGAAUUGUAAAAACAACCGCUAGAUAAUGCCAGUGCUUCAUGCAGACGAAACGAUUGUCCCAAGCUCCCAAGGAAGGAGAGAGUGACAGCUGAAAUGUGAAAUGUGGGAAAUCGAAAGAAUUCGAAAAGUGAAAUCAAUAUUCAGCAUGAUGUUUGACCAUGUUUGACACUGAAAAACUAACUUGACUUGGUAGUAAGUUAACUAAAUGUUUUCAUGCAUAUUUACCAGUUCAUUUGUCAUCAUUUGCCACGUAAUGACGACCAUUGUUGAAGCUGAAGCUGGCCAGGAAUUCUAAGCUGUCAUCAAUUCUGCAGCUGUAGUGUGCCUAUACUAAAAAUGGAAUCAAAAAUUGUAAUAUCACAGCAAUCUUACAAAUUUUCUGUUCUUGUCUUUCAGAUGGAUGUUUUGUAAAUGCUGAAUCCAAGAACUUCGUCAUUUCACUUGAUUGACUUUCUUUUCCGAUUUUAAUAAUGGUGAUAUUGCAAACAUACCAUAUUGCAAGUACUUACCUGAGCAGCUGAGCUGUUCCUUUCUGUGGUUCCUUUCAAUUGAUUCAUUUGAGACCUUAUCCACUAGUGGAAUAUGUAGAGAGAUGUUCAACUUAUUCCAAGUAUCUUGUCAUUAUCUAGCCAACCCCCCGUAAAUAAGGUAGAAGUAGAUAACUUACAAGUGCAUAUCUGGGCCCCCUUCUUUUCUGUGGUCCCGUUUCCCUAACCAACCACUAACCAACGUCCGCCGGUGGUCACUGACCGGCUGUGAUAACUAGGAGGAUGAGGAGGGCUCUGGUCGAAUGGAAACUUGAUUUCUCUCUUCUGCCUUGUCCAGGUAAACACGCUGGGCACAUUAUGAAAGGGAAAGUUUCCUCGUAACUGCAAGUGCGAGUUUUAGCAACUAAAUCGUUACAUGAGGAGAAUUAUUUAAGAAAAUAUUUGAGUAAAAAUAAGUUUUUUUAUUUAAUUUUAUAAUAAUAUAAGGAUAUUAUGGAAGUAGUUCCUUGAUCAUUCAUUGGUGUUUUUUAUACUUUAUUAAUUUAAAUCACAUUUUACUUCCGAGUCUAAAAUGUCUUUUUUAAGUUACAAGAGUAAAUUUAAACACAUAUUCAACGUCCUCCUCAUAAUACUCCCAAUUUCGAUCGUUUAUUAUUGAUUUAAUAUAAAACUUUUUUCUCUUCAAGAUAAAAAAAGGAUAAAGCAGACAAUACAACAACAUACUGGUUGCAACUUCCGCAACAUGAAAUUAUCUUCAAAGAACAACCACUGUUCAACUUGAUGCAAAAAGUCUUUUACCCUUGUCUUACCUACCACCGCUUUCAUCACAAACACCAUUUCCGAAACUGGCUAGAAAAUAAAUGGCGGAAAUUUGCCACGGACACUAAACUCUCUGCCCCCUGACGAGUGC